CCUACGGGAGGCAGCAGUGAGGAAUAUUGGUCAAUGGGCGUAAGCCUGAACCAGCCAAGUAGCGUGAAGGAUGACUGCCCUACGGGUUGUAAACUUCUUUUAUAAAGGAAUAAAGUGAGGCACGUGUGCCUUUUUGUAUUUACUUUAUGAAUAAGGAUCGGCUAACUCCGUGCCAGCCGCCGCGGUACUACGGAGGAUCCGAGCGUUCUCCGGAUUUAUUGGGUUUAAAGGGAGCGUAGAUGGGUUGUUAAGUCAGUUGUGAAAGUUGGCGGCUCAACCGUAAAAUUGCAAUUGAUACUGGCAGUCGUGAGUGCAGUUGAGGAAGGCGGAAUUCGAGGUGUAGCGGUGAAAUGCGUAGAUAUCACGAAGAACUCCGAUUGCGAAGGCAGCUUACUAAACUGCCACUGACAUUGAGGCUCGAAAGUGUGGGGAUCAAACAGGAUUAGAUACCCUAGUAGUC
rnacentral:rRNA from 1 species